rnacentral:snRNA from 1 species
AUCCAGUUACAGUUUCGCUUCAACCCUUGUAUCACCUUCAUAUCUGAUACACCCUCUAUCCAAGGGCCAUACAUUAAAUGGAGUUUUGGAAUCAGGAGAUGAAAUAGGGGCUUGCUCCGUUCACUCCAUGCAUCAACCUGGCAUUGGUACUUCCAGGAACGAUGCACCCUUC